rnacentral:rRNA from 1 species
GAACCGAUGGAUCGGUCACGCCAUUCGGUGUGUACUGGUAUUUUCGGUUUCUCCCUUCUGACGAACCUUGAUGUCAUUAAUUUGGUGUCUUGGGGAAUCAGGACUGUUACUUUGAAAAAAUUAGAGUGUUUAAAGCAGGCUCACGCUUGAAUACAUUAGCAUGGAAUAAUGAAAUAGGACGUUUGAUUCUAUUUUGUUGGUUUCUAGGAUCGACGUA